AUUGAACGCUGGCGGCAGGCCUAACACAUGCAAGUCGAACGAGUGGCGGACGGGUGAGUAAUGCUUGGGAAUCUAGCUUAUGGAGGGGGAUAACUACGGGAAACUGUAGCUAAUACCGCGUACCAUAGGAUGAGCCCAAGUGGGAUUAGGUAGUUGGUGAGGUAAAGGCUCACCAAGCCGACGAUCUCUAGCUGGUCUGAGAGGAUGACCAGGCACAAGGGGAAUUAGACACGGCCCAGAACCCUAAGAGAGGGAGCCGUGGGGAAUAUUGCACAAUGGGGGCAACCUGACGCAGCCAUGGCGGGGGAAUGAAGAAGGCCUUCGGGUUGUAAAGUUCUUUCCGUGAGGAGGCGUUAACUACAGAAGAAGCACCGGCUAACUCCGUGCCAGCAGCCGCGGUAAUUC
rnacentral:rRNA from 1 species